GGCUUUGCGAAAGUACUGCGAAGACGAAAAUAUGCAGCUGAAAGUUAUCCUCGUUGGCUUGACCAUCUUCGGUCUCAUUGUUGCAGAGACCGGUGCCAUGCCUGCCAGCAACAGUGCCAAUGAGGCCGAAGCCAGGGAUGCUCCACGGUCUGUGGAGCGCGCAGAGGAAAGCAGUGCUGAGGAGGCACGCAUCAGUGGUGCAUGCAUGGAAUCACAGUGCGGGUUAGCACCCUGACGCA
rnacentral:lncRNA from 1 species